rnacentral:lncRNA from 1 species
CAAAACCCAUCUGUCGUGUAUCCCCGAUUAAUGCAGCCUCAGAUGCUUCAAUUGUCGAUUCUAGAGUAUUGAGCGGGAGGUUACACCUAUGGGUUAGGUCUCCACCAAUAGAGGGCAUAGGGGAAGAAGCACUACUCCUAGGAAUCAACACACGAAAACUUUGUUAUAAAUUAUCCCUUUUCCUUAUCAGGAUCGGGACUAACAAGAAUGGUUGGGACAACAAACAUCCAUCUCGUUCGUGAGCUUGAUGGCAUCUAACUAUAACACUCAUAUUUUACAGAUAUAUUAAGGAGGCUUUUCAAAGUUAGAUUCUUCAGGAGUUAAUUGUCACAUCACAGUUUAACGUUAAUUUCGUGUGAACAUUAUAAAACAUUGUGCAAAAAACAUGAGGUAACAAAGAGUUGAUGAAAAAUCUCACUUUUCAGAGAGUUUCCUAAGCAUUUCUCUGUUUUACUAGGUAUUGAUAUACUAAAUUAACAAAUGAAUACUUAAGGAUACCAUCAAAUAUCACAAAUCGAAUCUAACACCAAGUUAAAUUAUUUUGAGUGGAUUACUAAACAUGUCAAGUUAGUAUUAAUCUUUGUUUAAUAAUCUUAAACAAGAUGCUCUGAUUUUUAAUUACAUGAAGAAAAAUGACUAAUAUUCUCCAUUUAUCCAUACACACGCAUUACGUGAGAAUAGAGGAUUUUUUUAAUAGUUUUCUAGAGUUAGGAUGAGUGUAUUUUAUUUGUUAGGAAUGUAAUGGGAGAUAGACGCUGGUGAUUUUCUAUGAUGCUUCAGAGUAUAAGAUGUUUUGAAUUUUAUAAAAUUACGGUAGAAUAUUUGUAGAUUUGGUUUAGAAACAAUAUCAUAUUUGGCUCAUAAGAUACAACACAAUGUAGAGGUCUACUAGUACAUACGGUAGAGUGUACUGGCUACUGUUUGAAGUAGAGGCCUACUCUGCAAUGCAGUAGCCAAUAUGGACAAUUGAUCAUCCAUCUAUUUAUGGAUCUCUUCCACCAAAUCCACACAAUCAAUAAAUAUGGGCCCUUGAAAUUUGAUCCAACGGCUACAAACAGGCGACCUCUUUAAAAGUUAUAAUAAUUUUAGCCGCUAGAUCAAAUUUCAAGGGCCCUAAUUUAAUGAUUGUGUGGAUUUGGUGGAAAAGAUCAUGAGAGGAUCUCUCCAUUUAUUUAUGAAGUUAAUUGGAAACAUGGCGACCUCUCAAAGCGUUUGCUGGUGUGAGGAUAACGUUGCAGGGAAGAACAAGAUCUUAGCCGUACACAUGCAAGUACCAAUGAGAUACGUAAAUCACGGAACAUCCAACACCGUAAAUGAUACGAGGUUGGGGAACGUGAAUGAACGAAGGCUGUAGCAGGCAGGUGCAUCUUCAUGCGGAGAGAGACUAAGGCCAUCUCCAAUCGAACGAUGGCUGAUGGACUAUGUUUAGCCCUAUAGCAUUGCAAGAAAUUAUAUUUAAAUGAACAGUGCCAUGCCAUAUUUUACACCAUCUCCAACCGAGGGUGCCAAAUGGCGAUAUGCCAAACAUAGCCCUUUGACAAAAAACUUAUCUCUAAUCGAGGGGGCCAAAGGGCCAUAGGAUGGGCCAUAGGCCAAACAUAAUUAAUAUAUAUUUUAUUAUUUUAAUUGAGUUAAUAUGGUUAAUUAAAUUAAACUACCAUAUUAAAAUAAGGUUUUCGGAUAUAUUUUGAGUAUCACUUGUAGCUAAAUGAAUAAGUCUCCGAAUUUUUUAUCUUUAUAUAAUCUCAAUCAUUUUUUGGAUAGGAUUUUGAGUGACAUGUAUCGUUAACGUGAGUAACUAUCCAAAUUUCUAUCUUUAUGUAAUCUCAAUAAUUUUUUGGAUAGAAUUUUGUUGAAGUUCAUUUCGAGUGCAAAUAUAAGGAUAAUAUAGUGACACAAGUAAGAGUGUCGAACCACAGGGAAUGAUAAACAACUUAGUAAAACCUUUGACUCUUACAUAUUAGCAUCAGUUAAUGACUCCUAUGAUUUAAAAUUGGGGGGAGGGGGGUUUAAGUAAUUUUGGAAAAGAAAUAAAGACAUAAAGAAAAGGGAAAAAUUAGAACUAUCUAAAAAUAAACCUAAUACAUGAAAUAAGUUAGAAACGUUUUUAGUACAUAAAUCUGACUUAAAAUGAGCUAAGGCCUUCCCCUAAACAUUCAUGAAUCAAUGAGAUGAUCUUUUAACUUAUCCAUUUCAAAUGCAUAACUAAGAUGUUCACAUAUCUAGCAUGGCAUAUAACUAGACUGUAUGAAUCCUCACUUUCCUUGCAUGUUAGAUGCAUGGCAUAUACAUCAAACUUAUAUUUG